CGUCCCUAAGUCAGGCGUGAAUACCCACUGAGUUUUAGAAUAUCACUAAGAGGAGGAAAAUAAAAUUACAAGGAUUCCCCUAAUAAUGGCAAGCAAACCGAGAAGAGCCCAACAUGAAAAUUGAUGACUCUUCCUACCAAAUAUUAGUCUGUAGAAGCAUCCUCAAUGACAGAUCGGGCCCAAGUCCCCUGGAAGGGGGCUUCCGAGAGGGUGAGAGUCCUGUCGCGCUCAGACCCUGCCACACCACUAAGCAUUGUUGGUGAGUUGGGUUGUUUGGGAAUGUAGCCUUAAUUAGGUGGUAAAUUUUAUCCAAGGCUAAAUAUAGGUGAGAGACCGAUAGCGAACAAGUAUCAUGAGGGAAAGAUGAAAAAGACUUUGAAAAGAGAGUUAAAGAGUUCUUGAAAUUGUUGGCAGGAAAGCGGAUGGAGGUCGGCGAUGCACGCCUACCAUGGAAGGCCCUCAAGCACCUAAGACCUCAUGGCAUUGGGCAAUAGGAUUUCCAUCUUGAAUCAUCUUCAAACACAGACCAAGGAGUCUAACAUGUGUGAGAGUCAAUGGGUUGGGAAACUAGCGAGGUGCAAGGAAGCUGACUAGCGAGAUCCCCUCUCAAGGGGUGCACCAUCGAUUGACCCUGAUCUUUUGUGAUGGGUUCGAGCAUGAGAACACCUUUUGGGACCUGAAAGAUGGUGAACUAUGUCUAAGUAGGGCAAAGCCAAAGGAAACUCUGGUGGAGGCCCGCAGUGAUACUGACAUGAAAAUCAUUCGUUUGACUUGGGUAUAGGGGCAAAAGACUAAUCAAACCAACUAGUAGUUGGUUUCCUCUGAAGUUACCCUCAUGAUAGCUGGACCUCAAGUGCAAGUUUUAUUAGGUAAAUCAAAUUAUUAGAGGCAUUGGUGGCAUAACACCCUCAGCCUAUUCUCAAACUUUAAAUAGGUAAGGCGGUGUGGCUUCUCCAUUGAGCCGUGCCACAGAAUCACGAGCUCCAAGUGGGUCAUUUUUGUAAGUAGAACUAGCGAUGCCAGAUAAACUGAAAGCCGAGAUAUAGUGCGAAAUUGCACGCUAACCCAGAUCCCACAAAGGGUGUUGGUUGAUUAUGACAGCAAGAUGGUGGUCAUGGAAGUUGAAACCCACUAAGGAGUGUGUAACAACUCACCUGUCGAAUCAACUAGCCCCGAAAAUGGAUAGCGUUGCAACACACAACCUAUACUUGGUUGUCGAGGCAAGUGCCAGGCUCUGAUGAGUAGGAGGACGCGAGGGUUGUUGCGAAACCUUGGGUGUGAGCAUGGGUGGACCAACCCAUGGUGCAGAUCUUGGUGGUAGUAGCAAAUAUUCAAAUGAGAACUUUCAAGACUGGAGUGGGGAAAGGUUCCAUGUGAACAACACUUGGACAUGGGUUAGUCGAUCCUAAGAGAUGGGGAAGCCCUAUUUCAAGGGUGCACUUUGCAUGAUCAUCGAAAGGGAAUUAGGUUAAUAUUCUCGAACUGGGACAUGGCAGCAGACAACAACAUUAGAAAAUCCAGAGAUGUCGGCGGAGUCCUUAGGAAGAUUUUUUUUUUUUUAACAGUUGCCCACCCUAAAAGUGGUUCAACCGAAGAUAAGGUCCAGCGGUUGGAAGAGCAUUGCACGUCUUGCAGUAUCCAGUGCACCUUUAAUGGCCCUUAAAAAUAUAGAGAAGCGAGUACUAUUCACGCCCAGUCGUACUCAUAAUCGCAUCAGGUCUCCAAGGUGAACAUCCUCUGGUCAAUAGAAUAAUGUAGGUAAGGGAAGUCGGCAAAAUGGAUCUAUAACAUCAGAGAAAAGGAUUGGCUCUAAGGGUUGGACCUAGGGGUCUACACCUCAAACCCAUGGGUUGUUGGUGGACUGCCUGAGCUGCUACCACGGUGAGGGUAGGCCGUUGCGUGUUGAUCGGGCGAUGGAUGCAGGGCGCUCCCUUUGAAGGGCUUUCCCUAGGCAGCGAAUAGCUGACUCAGAACUGGUACAGACAAGGCGAAUCUGACUGUUUAAUUAAAACAAAGCAUUGCAAUGGUCUCUGCAGAUGCUGACACAAUGUGAUUUCUGCCCAGUGCUCUGAAUGUCAAAGUGAAGAAAUUCAACCAAGUGUCGGUAAACGGUGGGAGUAAGUAUGACUCUCUUAAGGUGGCCAAAUGCCUUGUCAUCUAAUUAGUGAUGUGCAUGAAUGGAUUAAUGAGAUUCCCAUUGUCUCUAUCUACUAUCUAGAGAAACCACAGCCAAGGGAACGGGCUUGGCAGAAUCAGUGGGGAAAGAAGACCCUGUUGAGCUUGACUCUAGUCAGACAUUGUGAAAUGACUUGAGAGGUGUAAAAUAAAUGGGACUCAUUUCGGCGCAAGUGAAAUACCACUACUUUUAACAUUAUUUUACUUAUUUCAUGAGGCAGAGAUGGGGCAAUGCCCCUAUUUUUAACCUUGAUGUGCAUCUAGGUACGUCGAUCCAAGCAGAAGACAUUGUCAAGUAGGGAGUUUGGUUGGGGCAGCACAUCUAUUAAAAGAUAACAUAGGUGUCCUAAGAUGAGCUCAACGAGAACAAAAAUCUUGUGUGGAACAAAAGGGUAAAAGCUCAUUUGAUUUUGAUUUUUAGUAUGAACACAAAGCGUCAAAGCGUGGCCUAUCGAUCCUUUAGACUUUUAGAAUUUGGAGCUAGAGGUGUCAAAAAAGUUACCACAGGGAUAACUGGCAUGUGACAGCCAAGCGUUCAUAGCAACGUUGCUUUUUUAUCCUUCGAUGUCGGCUCUUCCUAUCAUUGCGAAGAAGAAUUUACCAAGUGUUGGAUUGUUCACCCACUAAUAAGGAACGUGAGCUAGGUUUAGAACAUCGUGAGAUAGGUUAGUUUUAACCUACUGAUGUUCCGCUCCAAGAUAUUAAAUCAACUUAUUAUGAGAGGAACUAUUGAUUCACACAUUUGGUCAUCGCGCUUGGUUUAAAAGCUAGUGGCGUGAAGCUACCGUGUGUCGAAUUAUGACUGAACACCUCAAAGUCAGACUCCAUGCUAGAUGUGGUGUAUCUCUCUCUCUCUCCAGCUGCUUCACAACCUGCAGUAGGGGUGCUCUUGCACCCGAAGGGGCCUGUGUCAUUGGCUAUCUUCAAUCGACACAAAUGCCUAGUCGGAGAAACAUUGGAUAACAAUUUCAAUUUGUUGGCAAGAAGAAUAUUUUGUAGAUGACUUAAAUAAACGAUGGGGUAUUGUAAGUGGCUGAAUGGUCUUACUGCCAUGAUCCACUGAGAUUUAUCCCUCUAUCACCUUGAUUCAU